rnacentral:rRNA from 1 species
AUUGAACGCUGGCGGCAGGCCUAACACAUGCAAGUCGAGCGAGCGGCGGACGGGUGAGUAAUGUGUGGGAAACUGCCUGAUGGAGGGGGAUAACUACUGGAAACGGUAGCUAAUACCGCAUACCAUCAGAUGUGCCCCGAUGGGAGUAGCUGGUAGGUGGGGUAAUGGCUCACCUAGGCGACGAGCACUAGCUGGUCUGAGAGGAUGACCAGCCACACUGGAACUGAGACACGGGCCAGACUCCUACGGGAGGCAGCAGUGGGGAAUAUUGCACAAUGGGCGCAAGCCUGAUGCAGCCAUGCCGCGUGUAUGAAGAAGGCCUUCGGGUUGUAAAGUACUUUCAGCGAGGAGGCGUUACUCGCAGAAGAAGCACCGGCUAACUCCGUGCCAGCAGCCGCGGUAAUUC